rnacentral:rRNA from 1 species
UAAACUAGGAUUAGAUACCCUAUUAUUUAAAAUGUAAAUUUAUUAUGCUAAAUUAGUAUUAGUUACGUUCUUGAAAAUUAAAAAAUUUGGCGGUAUUUUAGUCUAUUCAGAGGAACCUGCCCUGUAAUUGAUAGUCCACGAUUAGAUAAACUUUAUUUAUUAGUUUGCAUAUCGUCGUAGUUAGAAUAUUUUAUUAGAAUAGUAAUAUUCAAGAUUUUUCAUUAAAAAGUAAAUCAGAUCAAGGUGUAGUUUAUAAUAAAGGAAGGUGGGUUACAAUAAAUUUAUUUUAGGAUAAUUUUUAUUAUAGAAAUUUGAAUAUGGAUUUGAAAGUAAUUUUAAUUUUUUUUUUAAAAUGAUUAUAGCUCUAAAAUAUGCACACAUCGCCCGUCGCUCUUAA